rnacentral:lncRNA from 1 species
AUGAAGGAAAUAUCUGACAUGGAAAUCAACAAAAGACCGAUGAAAGCUUAUAUUCCACUAUCAGAGACCUUGAUAAGCAAGAGAUGCUUCCAAUCCCAAGACAUUUUCUCCAUUUUCUCCUUUAACCUUCCAGUGCAUUUAAGUUUAAAGGCACAAGGGACCUGCCUGAGUACUUGGAGGGGAAACAGAAAGAAGCUAGCACAAGAAGACUGCAACCAUCUAGCAGUCUUUUCUUUCUCAUUAAGCCCUUUAAGGAAACAACAUUCUGGCUACUAAGAACAAGGCCAGGCUUUGGAAUUGGAUUAUGCUAGCAAAUUGCAAACUUUGAGUUUUCUAAAAGGCUGCAAGAGAACUAAAGAAUUGCCAUUGGAAAUUUUUUAACCCUCUGAUUGAUGUCAGAAUAACAAGCCUACAGAAUUAUCCUGAUUUCUUGCCUCUGAUAAACCAGCUCCCUAUUCUGUGCACAUUCCACAAUUACAUCCUGAAUGGACCUCUUCUCCCAUUUAGUUUCCUUAUCUUUUCUCUCUGUGUUGACCUGGCCUGUGUAAUAAAAGAACUUAAUGUUUAUUUUGUUGUUGUUGC